rnacentral:misc_RNA from 1 species
GUGAAUCAUCGAAUCUUUGAACGCACAUUGCGCCCUUUGGUAUUCCGAAGGGCAUGCCUGUUCGAGCGUCAUUUAAACUCUCAAGCACUGCUUGGUUUUGGGUAGGGUCCCCCAAAGGGCCUACCCGUAACUCGUUGGGCGAGACCGUCCGGCUUCAGGCGUAGCAAGUUAAACCUUCGCCUCGUGGACCGGUCGGCCGCUGCCCGGAAAAUCCUUUUUUCAAUAGUUUGACCUCGGAUCAGGUAGGGAUACCCGCUGAACUUAAGCAUAUCAAUAAGCGGAGGA